rnacentral:rRNA from 1 species
AACACAAGAGCAUUUUAAGAAAGAUUAAAAGAAAAAGAAGGAACUCGGCAAAUAUUAGCCUCGCCUGUUUACCAAAAACAUCGCCUCUUGACUUAUUAUAAGAGGUCAUGCCUGCCCAGUGACUCUGUUCAACGGCCGCGGUAUCCUAACCGUGCGAAGGUAGCGUAAUCACUUGUUCUUUAAAUGAGGACUAGUAUGAAUGGCCCCACGAAGGCUACACUGUCUCCUUUUUCUAAUCAAUGAAACUAAUCUUCUCGUGAAGAAGCGAGAAUAAUUUUAUAAGACGAGAAGACCCUAUGGAGCUUUAAACAACUGAAAUAUUUGCUUUUAUAUUCCAUUCUCCAGAGUUCACUAUUAUAUCCAAGCAUUUUAAUUUCUAGUUUUAGGUUGGGGUGACCACGGAGUAAAAUUCAACCUCCAUGACGAACUAAGCAUUUUUCCUCUAAGCCACAAGCUACCUCUUUAAGCAUCAACAAAUUGACUUACAUUGACCCAAUAUUUUGAUCAACGAACCAAGUUACCCUAGGGAUAACAGCGCAAUCUACUUCAAGAGCUCAUAUCGACAAGUAGGUUUACGACCUCGAUGUUGGAUCAGGGUAUCCUGGUGGUGCAGCCGCUACUAAAGGUUCGUUUGUUCAACGAUUAAAACCCUACGUGA